rnacentral:lncRNA from 1 species
AUGACGAGCAAAAGCGAAUCCCCGGAGCAAGCGGGGCUUCAUCCCUGGCAACGCUCUCCUGCCACGGAGCUCCUUCCUUCCUGCCCUGCUGGGAUGCACAGGGGGAAUGUUGAUCCCUGUGCUGAUCCCUGGGUCUGCCUGUCAGGGCAGGAGGCUCCGAGGAAAUGCACAGCAGCAACCUGUAGCUACAAGCCCACCUCGAGCACCUUCCCAGCUCCAGCAAACAACGGGGGAGAAAAAAAGACAUUUACUCACUGGUUCCCAGCCUGCCGGUGGGAAAUAAGGAGACGUCCUCCCAGAGCUCCUCCGUGCUGCAGGCACAGCGACGGACACAGCACCACUUUGGAUCAAAGGGCCACGCCAUUGGGGAUCAACGCUUCCCUCUGCCCAGACUCUGCCUUGUCUUCUUCCCUUUCCCUGAGUUCUGCUCCUCAAAAGGAUUUUAAUUACAGGCUGCGACCGGUCUGCUCAAAUUUGAGGUUAAGGCUGGUUGAGAGUGUAGUUAAAGCAACUGUUUAUUGCCUGGACUAGGAGAGAUAACGAGUCGGGUUCUAAUUGUUCGCCACACAAGCUCAUCUCCGAAAAAGUCAGCAUCCCGAGACGGGGAGAAAACCCUCAAGUGUCAGUUUUAAUCAAGAUUAAACCACAGUUCUCAAGCAUUUAGACGCUGUCUCAAACACAGACUCGGGAUUUCAGUUUUUAGGUGGGACCUGCUGGAUUAAAAACCCCAGCACUUGAUCCCAAAAUGAGGUUUUGAAGGGAGACAGGAGCACCCAAACCACCACAGAGCCUCGAUGGCAAGCAGGAAUUUCACCCCUCAUUUGCGUCCUGUGCCCACAUCCAAAUUCCCACGCUGGGAGAACAACUGGAAUUUUUAAUUCUGCUUCCAAAAGUUACCAAACACCAAGGGAACCCAGCCGCCCUCACCGUGCCAAAUUCAUUCCACCCAGCUCCUCCACAGAGCAGAGCUCCUCAUGAAGCCACAGCUAAAGAUCUUCACCAGAUCCACGGCCACGGGAUGAAAUACGAGUGAAAAACGAUUAAUAAUUAAAAAAAAAAAAAAAGGCAGAGGAAGAGUUGCAGAGCAGCAAAGUGAGGAACUACUUUCAUUCACCACCACAUUUAUUAAGAGCUCCUGCCUUGCAAAACCCUCCCUGGAGUUACUGAAGCAAUUAAGGCUUGGUGGAAAAAUCCCACCAUCUCACCCGUGUUUGGGUUGUGCCUCUUCACUCCCUCUUUCACCAGAACAAGCCUAAACAGGGGCCAGAAUGAAUAUUAAACAAGAAAGUCUCCUCUCUAAUAAACUCCUCAGUUUCUCUCGGUCUCUUUUAUUU